rnacentral:rRNA from 1 species
UUCUGGCUCAGGAUGAACGCUGGCGGCGUGCCUAACACAUGCAAGUCGAGCGAUUACUUCGGUAAAGAGCGGCGGACGGGUGAGUAACGCGUGGGUAACCUGCCUCAUACACAUGGAUAACAUACCGAAAGGUAUGCUAAUACAGGAUAAUAUAAGAGAUUCACAUGGAUUUCUUAUCAAAGCUCCGGCGGUAUGAGAUGGACCCGCGUCUGAUUAGCUAGUUGGUAAGGUAAUGGCUUACCAAGGCGACGAUCAGUAGCCGACCUGAGAGGGUGAUCGGCCACAUUGGAACUGAGACACGGUCCAAACUCCUACGGGAGGCAGCAGUGGGGAAUAUUGCACAAUGGGCGAAAGCCUGAUUGCAGCAACGCCGCGUGAGUGAUGAAGGCCUUCGGGUCGUAAAACUCUGUCCUCAAGGAAGAUAAUGACGGUACUUGAGGAGGAAGCCCCGGCUAACUACGUGCCAGCCGCCGC